ensembl:lncRNA
CUGCCUUGCAUGCACAAAGAUGAUUUCUGUUAGCUGUCCAUGUGCUAAACAUCUAAUACAACUUCCAUCUUCACCCAAAAGACUGAGAGUGGAAGCGGGACCCCAGUUCAGUGCUGCUGCAUCAAAUUCCACUAAGAAACUCAUCAUUUUCUUUCAUGUGACUGAUAACUCUCAGUCAGAUAAAACCACGUACACUAAGCAGCUGAACGUACAGGGCUCAUCUCCACUUGUGUACAACAAUGUGUGUGCGUAUAGCGUGUUUUCUGGAGUGAAGAACAGGGGAUUCAUGAGAUGGCUGGCAGUAAUUAUUCACAGUGUUGCUUUACUCUGUGUUACACUUUUCUAUUUAAUUCUCUACUAUCACAACUUCAUAUCCUAAAAAUGGAAUAACGGAACUAAUCCGGUAACCCUGACACGAGGCUCAAUGCAGGACGCAGUCAAACCACGAGGAAAAACAUACCCGGGUUUGGAUGAACCUCACGUGGAGGAGUGUUCAGUGAUGUCCCGCAGCACUGCAGGUGUUAAAUUAACCUUGCAAAUGUUCGUUCAUCACCACGUGGCUGACACUGUGCCAAACCUCUAGUGGAUGGGCGUGUACUCGCAGAGAGACAUGCAGCAGGAGAUAUGAGACAUACAGCAGGAGAUAUGAGACAUGCAGCAGGACGCAUGAGACAUGCAGCAGGACGCAUGAGACAUGCAGCAGGACGCAUGAGACAUGCAGCAGGACGCAUACAGCAGGAGAUAUGAGACAUGCAGCAGGAGAUAUGAGACAUGCAGCAGGACACAUGAGACAUGCAGCAGGACACAUGAGACAUGCAGCGGACACAUGAGACAUGCAGCGGGACACAUGAGACAUGCAGCGGGACACAUGAGACAUGCAGCGGGACACAUGCAGCAGGAGAUAUGAGACAUACAGCUCGAGCUUCUUGGAUAUAAAAUUCCAUUUAUACAUGGAUGCGCGCGUGCAGCUGCGCGUCUCCCGUUUCAUAAACCAGUACUGACUUCACGCGCUGGAGAGGAGAAUGAAUGAAUGGAUGGAUGGAUGGAUGGAUGGAUGGAUGGAUGUGUAGAGGGAGCGAACGCAUGCUGAGCCCUUUUUUAGUGUCACUGCCACGUACCUGUGAAGUGCUGCAGUGUGGGCACGGUGCCUUGUACCCACAGACUCAGCACGCGCUGCACGGAUAGAUUAAUGGAAUAAUCCUUGCUCAUGGUUCCGCCGCCGACACCCGGUUUCGCGCGCGUCUUUGUCAAACGGCUGAACGUGGCUUUGGACGGAAGAGACGGGCCUGACAUGGAGAGGGAGGUCUACCGCCCUCUUUUACCAGCGACGCCCGUGUUUGGGCUGACGGUGUCCGGUUGCAGCGGAGAAGCACCGUUACUUCGUCUCUUCAUAGUGGAGAGUAACGGCGGCUGCUUGGAGGCCAUGUUGUCGGCUACACAAGCGCUCCUACAUCCAUCCCUCCU